GUUGAAGCUACCUGAAGAAGCCACAUGAGGUGCUAUGUUUGAUGACCUCAGCUGACCUGACAUCCUCCUGAGUUGGCUUUAACUGACAACUGGUAUCUACUGCUACUCCUGCGAAUGCGUCAUCUUUGUCCAGCCUAUUCUGUCUAAAGAUACAGUGAUAAAAAUUAUUCAAUCUAUGGUGAACAAGGAGCCUCGUGUGAAACUCAGAAGACUCACGGGCUACCCUCCGAGCAUGAAUUUUCCUUCCUGGAUCUAAAGUGACAUCACAACUUACACCCUAAAGAAUGAGAAAACAGACACAACAUUCAUCCUUUAAGAAUGAGCUUGAGAAUUCCUGGAGCAUAGGAAGAAAUCGGCCAUCUUUCUGCACUGCCCACCAUCCCUGCCGUAGCGCUGGACACACCGUGACCCUGCAUAAACCAGCGAGUUUAAAGCAAUCAAAGGCACAUAAGAAGUACAGAUUCAUGCAAGAAUUCAAAGCCAUCUACACAGAAAACCUG